GAUGAACGCUAGCUACAGGCUUAACACAUGCAAGUCGAGCGAGAACCAGGGCUUCGGCCCUGGGGACAGCGGCGAACGGGUGAGUAACACGUGGGUAAUCUGCCCUCGGCACCGGAAUAGCCCGGGGAAACCCGGCUUAAUGCCGGAUGGCCCCUUCACCUCGCGAGGGGUCGGGCAAAGGUAGCUUCGGCCGCUGGCCGAUGAUGAGACCGCGGCGGAUUAGCUUGUUGGUGGGGUAACGGCCCACCAAGGCGACGAUCCGUCAGCUGGUCUGAGAGGACGAUCAGCCACACUGGGACUGAGACACGGCCCAGACUCCUACGGGAGGCAGCAGUGGGGAAUCUUGCGCAAUGGGCGAAAGCCUGACGCAGCGACGCCGCGUGAGGGAAGACGGCCUUCGGGUUGUAAACCUCUUUCAGGAGGGACGAAGCUACUCGGGUGAAUAGCCCAGAGGGUGACGGUACCUCCAGAAGAAGCCCCGGCUAACUACGUGCCAGCAGCCGCGGUAA
rnacentral:rRNA from 1 species